UACGUAGGGGGCAAGCGUUGUCCGGAAUCAUUGGGCGUAAAGAGCGCGUAGGCGGUCCAGUAAGUCCGCUCUGAAAGUCCGGGGCUCAACCCCGGGAGGCGGGCGGAUACUGCUGGGCUAGAGUCCGGAAGAGGCGAGUGGAAUUCCUGGUGUAGCGGUGAAAUGCGCAGAUAUCAGGAGGAACACCGGUGGCGAAGGCGGGUCUCUGGGCCGAUAUUGACGCUGAGGAGCGAAAGCGUGGGGAGCGAACAGG
rnacentral:rRNA from 1 species